rnacentral:rRNA from 1 species
AGUGAACGCUGGCGGUAGGCCUAACACAUGCAAGUCGAACGGCAGCACAGUAAGAGCUUGCUCUUACGGGUGGCGAGUGGCGGACGGGUGAGGCAUACAUCGGAAUCUACUUUUUCGUGGGGGAUAACGUAGGGAAACUUACGCUAAUACCGCAUACGACCUACGGGUGAAAGCAGGGGAUCUUCGGACCUUGCGCGAUUCAAUGAGCCGAUGUCGGAUUAGCUAGUUGGCGUGGUAAAGUCCCACCAAGGCGACGAUCCGUAGCUGGUCUGAGCGGAUGAUCAGCCACACUGGAACUGAGACACGGUCCAGACUCCUACGGGAGGCAGCAGUGGGGAAUAUUGGACAAUGGGCGCAAGCCUGAUCCAGCCAUACCGCGUGGGUGAAGAAGGCCUUCGGGUUGUAAAGCCCUUUUGUUGGGAAAGAAAAGCAGCAGGUUAAUACCCCGCUGUUCUGACGGUACCCAAAGAAUAAGCACCGGCUAACUUCGUG